rnacentral:rRNA from 1 species
GAUGAACGCUGGCGGCGUGCCUAAUACAUGCAAGUCGAACGGGGAGUAGCAAUACUCUUAGUGGCGAACGGGUGAGUAACGCGUUGGUACCUGCCCCGAAGCGGGGGAUAACGGACCGAAAGGUCCGCUAAUACCCCAUGUGCUCGGUAACGAGUAAAGGUGAAAACCACUUUGGGAGGGGCCUGCGUCCCAUCAGCUAGUUGGUAAGGUAACGGCUUACCAAGGCGAUGACAGGUAGGGGACCUGAGAGGGUGGCCCCCCACAAUGGAACUGAAACACGGUCCAUACACCUACGGGUGGCAGCAGUAGGGAAUAUUGGUAAUGGGCGCAAGCCUGAACCAGCAACGCCGCGUGUGCGAUGACGGCCUUCGGGUUGUAAAGCACUUUUGACUGGGACGAGGAAGGACGGUACCGGUCGAAUCAGCCUCGGCUAACUACGUG